UAUGUUGAUAACAUCCCUUCCCUUUUAACUUGUCUCCUCCUGGUGUCUCCUCAGGGCUGGGAGGAGAGCUGUGACGCCGCUGUCUCCCACCUCCUGCGGAGCUGCCUUUCACGGAGCCCCAAGGACCAGGCCACGUCUCUGGCCCAGCAAGGAGGCUCCGUGCUGGGCCUGCCCCGCGACACAGCCCGCCUCAAGAAGCACAUCACCCUUAUGUGCGACCGCAUCAGCAAGGGAGGCCGCCUCACCCUGGCCUCUGAGGCAAACGUCCCCGUCCCCAUCCAAGUCCAGAACCUGGCUGCUCCCGGAGGGGUUGAGCCCAUAGCGGAGGUGGCUGCAGACGGGGAGGAGCUGGAACCUCCACAGGAAGCGACAAAGUUCAUCAAGAAGAAGCAGCCGUCUAAGAAAGUCAAGAAAGAUAAAGAGAAGAAGGAGGCGUCAAAGGAGUCGUCAGAGGCCACCGUGAAAGAGGAAGUGGGAGGCGCAGAAGAGCCAAUCAAGGAGGCGAAAAAGGAGAAGAAGGAGUCAUCCAAGGAGAAGAAGGAGCCGAAGAAAGAUUCAAGCAAAGAGCCGAAGGAGGAGGCGAAGAAGGAGUCCAAGAAGGAAUCAUCCUCCUCCAAGGAGAAGAAGGAGAAGAAGGAGAAGGACAAAGACAAGGAAGGGAAGGAGGCCAGCAAGGAGUCAGGGGAGAAGAAAGUGCCCAGGAAGUCGUCCGUAAAAGUGAAAGAGAAGAAGAAGGAGCCGGAGGCUGGUGAGGGCUGACAGGAGCCGUGCAAUAAGCUCACAUAUACACACACACACACACACACACACACACACACACACACACAUAAAUAUGCAUACGUGUGUACACAGUGUCCAUGUAAACGUAUACAAGGCCACAUAACUCGACACACACACACACUCACAUAUGCAGUCUUAAUAUAUAUUUACAUGUAAAUAUGCUCCGGCAACGCCACAUAUGUCACAAUCAAAGCAAUUUCCUGUCAGACGCAUAUUUACAUCAUCUAGUAAUAGCUGAUCCACACACACACACACACACACACACACACACACACACACACACACACACACACACACACACACGUUCUGUGUCUCUGGGCUGCUGCUGCUGCACCACAUCCACUAGUGUUGGGGUGUGUGUGUGCGCUGGGCAGCUGUGGUGAAGGCGAAUCCUCCUCCUCUCCUCAGACAUUUCGCUGACUCUCUCCUCCUCCUCCUCCUCCUCUUCCUCGUCUUCGUCUAGCCCCAGCAGCAGUUGAACCCACAGCCCUGCGCCUCCCUAAUCCCAUUCAGGCCCCAAACCACCCCUUCCGCCCACGCACCCUUCUGGAUGUGACGUCAGACCCGCCCUCUCGCCCCCUCGCGUGGCACCAGGCCUCGCAGAGCCUCCCCCGCCUCGCCGCUAAGAAUAAAUGGCCUGCCGUGUCCAGCAGCCCUGUUUCUUCCCGGGUAAAUCAAGGCCACAUCCUACAGCCUCCACCACCACCACCCCUUCUGACCUCUUCCAGUCAGUUCAGGUUUUUAAAUCUGGAACACUCAAGGACACGCGGCUGCUGAUGGAUACAUACCCGGUGCUGCGGGGUCCAACCUUUCGCACAGUGGAAACCAGCAGGGCGUGUUCUGGAAAAAGCAGGGUGGCAAUCAGGAGGGCAGAAGAGCCAGUUUAACACCCGAGGCUUCUUCUGCUCAUCUUCAGGAACACCAUGAAGGGGAGGCUGCGUCUGAAAUACACUGCGAGGCACUUGUGUCGUCUGUAACAUAGUUACUGCACGUGAGGUCAGGUGUGGUGCUGUGGCAGAGGAAAGUAACAUAUCGUUCUUACUUGUACUCGUAUCUGGUCCCGCAGAUAGUUUGGUUUGUUCUGAGUAGAGUAUCAUUUAUUGAAACGGUCAAAUACCUAAUCUGAGUUAUUCUUUAUUCAGUUGUUCACUUUGUACUCAGGCGAAGUCCUCGUGUGGCCGCAUGUGUUAGGACGACAUUUCAAAUGUGCAGAAAGUAAUCAGGAGCUUUAAAGUAAAACAUGUGAAACACAAACGCUCACGUCUUCGCUGUUACAGACUGGAACCUGUGGACUUUGGACACACACACACACACACACACACACACACACACACACACACACACACACACACACACACAUCAUUUAGGAGCUUUGAGACGUUUCUCUGCCAGACUUGAAGCUUCUCGACUUCAGCCAUAGAUGCUGUGCCAGCUUAACACAGGACGAUCAGCAGCUCUGCAACACUACAAGUCUGCAGCGUGUCUGCAGCGUGUCUGCAGCGUGUCUGCAGCGUGUCUGCACGUUCGGCCUCAGGCCUUCUGCCGACUGGGAAACUUGCAGCUGGUCUCAUGUCUUUUUUUCCUUUCGUGUUUUUAAAUGAUAAAUAUUUGGACUUUUAGUGCGGAAUAAGAAUAGAUGAACUCAUCCUUGCCAAGAAGGAGAGAUAUCCAAGUGUGUGUUACAGAGGUUCCCACUGGACACGAGGUCCAGAACACGUGAAUGUUUGUGAUAGGUUCUGCUGUAUUAGCUGUUCAGGUACCGGACUCCUGCUCCGAGUCUGCUUUUAUAGACGAGUCAUGUGUGUGCAGCCGGAAGAAGUAUCUGUGGAAUAUUUAGUAAUAAAAGUAAUCUACUGUAAGAAAUCAAAGCCUUCCGUUAGUGCUUA
ensembl:lncRNA protein PXR1-like